AGUGACGCAGAAGACGGGUGAUUUCUGCAUUUCCAACUGAGUGUCCUUCCUUGACAAAGUACUAUACAGCUGAAGAACAUCUCCAGGUACAAUUUUGGUUGGAAAGGAGCCAAUUGAUUUCAACAGAAUCAGAUCUGAGCUUCAUAAAGUCUUUGAAGUGACUUCACAGAGAUGCAGACACGUGCACUUGAAGAUGCUGCCGCUUCCCCAGUACCUAGCAAAGUUCCCCCCUCUUUGUGUGCAUCACUGUGAAACCCCCACCCUUCUGCCUCGUGCUAAACGCACACAGUACCUAGUCAGGGGAAAAGACUGCUUUUAGGAGAUAGAAAAUGGUUUGAAUUACUUAAAGGAAUAAGGUGUUGCCUGGAAUUGCUGGUUUAUAAGUUGGUCAUUUUUCUUUUUUAAAAUAUUUGUAAUAUGGAAUGUGCUCAUUAAGGAGAGCUUGGAAAAUGCAGAAAGUUAUGAAAAAUAAGUCACAUAUGAUUAUGCUACCUAGUGAUAACCACUCCUAAUAUUUGAUUCAUUUUCUGCCUUUCUUCUUUCACAUAUGUGUUUUUUUACACAUGUACUUUUCUCCCCUUAGUUUCCUUUUAUUUUAUAGAGCAGAACCCUAGUCUUUUAAACAGUUUGGAGUGAAAUAUAUGCUAUAUCAGUUUUUACUUUCUCUAGGGAGAAAAAUUAAUUUACUAGAGAGGCAUGAAAUGAUUAUGGGAAGGGUGGUUAAGACUACUCAAGAGAAAUAUUUGGAAAAUAAGCUUUGGAUAUUUUCUAAGCUUUAUUUCAAAAGCACUUUUUGCUAUGUUCUUUAUAAAAAACAUAAUAAAAAUUGAAAUGAAAGAAUAAUUGUUAUUACAAAAGUAACUAGCUUAGUUUUGUAUGGAUUCAGAAUAUACUAAAUUAACUUUUUAAAACAUAAAUUUUUAAAAAUAUAUCAAAAUAAUAUGUUCUGAUAUUUUUAAAAUAAAUGAGCUUGUGCUCUUCAACCUGUCCACAUCUUUAGAGAAUUAAAAUGUGUUAUGUUAUUAUGGGCUAUGCUAACAUAUGGGCUAUGUUAUUAUGGGCUAUGCUAACAUCAGAAUAUUUCUGGAUAUUUAAGAAUAGCUUUAUAUAUGACUACUGCUCAUUUCUGUGUAAUUCUGUUUAACAGUUGCUUUAAAGGUGAAUUCUGCCACCUUUACUUUGAUAGCAAUAUAAGGAGUAAGAUAGACAUGAACCUGAAUUUCAAUUUAAAAUCAUGGAAGAGAGGGGAAAAAAACAGCUUAAGAAAAAAUCACCUGAUAAAGGGCAAGAAAAAAAAAUGCAACUUACAUCACAAAGGCUAAUUGCUUUAUUGUUUAGAGAGUACUUAAAAAUUCAAAGACCAAACUUCUCUCCACCCCACAAAAAUGGGCAAAGGACAUACAGCUAGGUCACCAAGAAAGAAGGGCAAGUAGGUGGUGAAUAUAUGUAAAUAUACUUGACAGGACUUUUGCUUAGUUGGAUCUUUAGCAAAUCUCUUUUAUUUCUUGGGAUUUUGAAGAAGUAACUUUUAAAGGAAGACUAGAAACAACGUGAUUAGGAAUUGGUCUUUUUUGAAUUAAAAUUUCCCAUCACAAGAAAAAAAAAAUCCUGUGUUCUCUUUUUUUCCAAAAUGGAGUAGGUCAGUGAGCAAUGUGAUUAAUAAAUAUGCAAUACCUGUGACUUUUGUUUUGUUUUGGAGACAGGGUCUUGCUUUGUUACCCAGGCUGGAAUGCAGUGGUGCUAUCUAGGCUUACUGCAACCUCACCUGUAACUUUUUAAUUGCAAGAAAGCCAAAAGAUUUUUUUCUAUUACAUCAGUUAUAAUGAGAAAUACUGUAUAUGCUAACUAUUAGUAAAAUACUAUAUUGCCUAACUUGUAUUAUUAAGCAAUUCUGCUGACCUGAGACCUUACAUUUUCAUCUGAAAAGCAGGGACUGGACACCAAUUGCCCUCUGAAGUUAUUCCUAGUCCUAAUAUUCUUUGUUUUGCUUGCUUUUCUGGCACACUUAAGUGUGUAGUAUAAAGUUUAUGAUGCUUAAAUGAAAUUUUCUGUCUCUACCAUUAUAAUGAGAAGGGAAUAAAAUACUUUAUUUUGCAAAUCUA